CCUACGGGAGGCAGCAGUGGGGAAUAUUGCACAAUGGGGGAAACCCUGAUGCAGCAACGCCGCGUGAAGGAAGACGGUUUUCGGAUUGUAAACUUCUGUUCUUAGUGAAGAAUAAUGACGGUAGCUAAGUAGCAAGCCACGGCUAAAUACGUGCCAGCCGCCGCGGUAAUACGUAGGUGGCAAGCGUUGUCCGGAAUUACUGGGUGUAAAGGGAGCGCAGGCGGGAAGCGAAGUCAGCUGUGAAAACGACGGGCUUAACUUGUAGACUGCAGUUGAAACUGGUUUUCUUGAGUGAAGUAGAGGGUGGCGGAAUGCCGAGUGUAGCGGUGAAAUGCGUAGAUAGUCGGAGGAACACCGGUGGCGAAGGCGGCCAACUGGGCUUUAACUGACGCUGAGGCUCGAAAGUGUGGGGAGCAAACAGGAUUAGAUACCCCAGUAGUC
rnacentral:rRNA from 1 species